GUAGUAUCUGUUCUUAUCUGUUUCAUAUCUGAUAUGUCCUCUACACAAGGACAACACUGAGCUGAUCUUUUGAACUGGGAGCUCUGUUCACUCCACAGAUUGACGUUGCGUUGCAGUGCUGGCACCAACAGCUG
rnacentral:snRNA from 1 species